rnacentral:tRNA from 1 species
GGUUUUAUAUUCAAUAAUGAUUUUAGAUUGCAAUUCUAAAGGUGUAUAAAUUUUAUACUAAGGCCU